rnacentral:lncRNA from 1 species
UUAGUCAUGUUAAAAAAAUUAAUUACUCUAUGAACAUGAAUACUCAAUAAUCAUCAUAGACAUAUAUAUUUUACAAACAAAGAAUACGCAUACAAGGCAAUUAUUUUGCAAUGAAUUCAUAAAAAGUAUUAAAAACAUAUUGAAUAGAUGAGCGUGACUACUAACAUAUUACCGUCCAUUGAAGUCGGCAAAUUAUAGUUAAGCAAUCAAUUAGAUACCUAUAAUGACAUUAAAAAAAAAAAAAAAAAAAAAAAAAAAAAAAACUCCAAAAUUGGAAC